rnacentral:lncRNA from 1 species
GGCGACCUCGCCGGAUUGAUUAGAGGGAUCCCUGUCGGCGGGUGUUCUUCGGGAUUCAUUGAGGUAUUGCUAACCCAAGUUCUAUUUUGUCUCGUUUGUCCACCGUUUUCACGGGAUUCGAUCAAUUCAAGAUGUUCUAUGUCAUUGCGUUUCGUGGCUUGCAGGCGCUGACCAGUGGCUCUUCCUUUCUAUUCCUGCUUUUCCCUACUUUGUGUGGCCGCCGCGUGUUCCCCGGCUCUGGUCCUCGCUCUGUCGUCGAUGCCACUUAUCGUGGGGGAAUCAUCGAGGUAUUGCUUUGUGUGGCUUGUAGAAAACACGGAACCUCUCCCUGCCCGGUUCAUGUAAGGCCACCCGCUGGUUCAUCCUCCAUGGCUUUGAGCCUGGGUACUGUGUCGUUGUCAUGGGAUGACCUAGCCUUGUUGUCUGCCAUCGCGUUCCUCUUGGUUCUGCUUUGUCCCCUGUUGUUGGUUGUGCUGAGUUCCACAGAGUCGCGUUCAUCGCUCCGUCUUUGUUCCAGGUCUUCGUGGCCGGGGUAGAGGCUGUGGCCCUCUAGAAGCAUCAUCCAACUCCACGGGUGGUUCUGAGUUGCACAAAUUUGUUGUGCUUUGUACAUAGAUUCCAUUCGGUUUUCGGUUAGGAGUUUAGUUCCAGUUAUUGAGGACAGAGCUUAGUAGUGAUUUCACAUUAAGCAAUUGCAUACAAAAUUAGAAUAGGUCACUAAUUUAUUUUCACUUUUAUGUGUUUCGUUCAUUAGUAUUACACCUAUCCAAUGGAGUAGAGAGUAGAAUAUUUGUUCAACAAAAAGUGACUGUAAUUUUUAUGUAAUUUAUUUGGGUAUAGAUGCAUGAGGAGGGAGAAUCUUUAAUAAUAUCACUUCUCAUGUAAUUAGAAGAAGGAAUUAUACCGUUAAUUGAUUCAUAUUAUAAUUGAUUACAGAUGGCUCAUGAUGGAGAUUGUUCUUCUGAAGGAGAAAAGUCCAAACCAACCAUGAUUUUUAGUUAAAGUCUAAUAGUAAUAAUAAUAAUGUAAAAAAUGUGUUUGGCAAUAUUCUUUCUCAGUUUUAGUUUUGUAUUACUUUAUAUCUUACACUUUAUAAAUGGUUGAUAUGUUAGCUCAUAUGAAUAUUUUGUUAGAUUUAAGACUAUUGGAUACAUUAUGAUUGUAUUAUUACUAUUUUUAAGCUUUAGAUAAAUACAAAUAUUAUAUUAUAUAUUUUUAUACCUAAUAAGCCAAGCCGAGCUAGCUUUUCUAGCUUGUUAAGAUAACAAGCCGAGCCGAACCGAGCCGAGCUGGUUA